CAGUCGAACGCGAAAGUUUCCUUCGGGGAACAAGUAGAGUGGCGCACGGGUGAGUAACACGUAGGUAAUCUACCUUUGGAUGGGGAAUAACAACCGGAAACGGUUGCUAAUACCGCAUAAUGCAGCGGCACCUAAUGGUGACAGUUGUUAAAGCGGGGGAUCGAAAGACCUCGCGUCUGAAGAGGAGCCUGCGGCGGAUUAGCUAGUUGGUAAGGUAACGGCUUACCAAGGCAAUGAUCCGUAGCCGGCCUGAGAGGGCGGUCGGCCACACUGACGCUGACAUACGGGUCAGACUCCUACGGGAGGCAGCAGUCGGGAAUUUUGGGCAAUGGGCGAAAGCCUGACCCAGCAACGCCGCGUGAAGGAUGAAAUCCCUCGGGAUGUAAACUUCGCAAGAACGGGAAGAAUAAGUAAGGGUUAACACCUCUUACGAUGACGGUACUGUUUGUAAGCUCCGGCUAACUCCGUGCCAGCAGCCGCGGUAAUACGGGGGGAGCAAGCGUUGUUCGGAUUUACUGGGCGUAAAGGGCGCGUAGGCGGCCACCGCAAGUCGGUUGUGAAAUCUCUGGGCUUAACCCAGAAAGGUCAACCGAUACUGCGGGGCUAGAGUGCAGAAGGGGCAACUGGAAUUCUCGGUGUAGCGGUGAAAUGCGUAGAUAUCGAGAGGAACACCUGCGGCGAAGGCGGGUUGCUGGGCUGACACUGACGCUGAAGUGCGAAAGCUAGGGGAGCGAACGGGAUUAGAUA
rnacentral:rRNA from 1 species